CCAGUUGCAGCAGCUACACAUGCAGUCGAGCGGUAGCACAGAGAGCUUGCUCUCGGGUGACGAGCGGCGGACGGGUGAGUAAUGUCUGGGAAACUGCCUGAUGGAGGGGGAUAACUACUGGAAACGGUAGCUAAUACCGCAUAACGUCGCAAGACCAAAGUGGGGGACCUUCGGGCCUCAUGCCAUCAGAUGUGCCCAGAUGGGAUUAGCUAGUAGGUGGGGUAACGGCUCACCUAGGCGACGAUCCCUAGCUGGUCUGAGAGGAUGACCAGCCACACUGGAACUGAGACACGGUCCAGACUCCUACGGGAGGCAGCAGUGGGGAAUAUUGCACAAUGGGCGCAAGCCUGAUGCAGCCAUGCCGCGUGUAUGAAGAAGGCCUUCGGGUUGUAAAGUACUUUCAGCGGGGAGGAAGGCGAUAAGGUUAAUAACCUUGUCGAUUGACGUUACCCGCAGAAGAAGCACCGGCUAACUCCGUGCCAGCAGCCGCGGUAAUACGGAGGGUGCAAGCGUUAAUCGGAAUUACUGGGCGUAAAGCGCACGCAGGCGGUCUGUCAAGUCGGAUGUGAAAUCCCCGGGCUCAACCUGGGAACUGCAUUCGAAACUGGCAGGCUAGAGUCUUGUAGAGGGGGGUAGAAUUCCAGGUGUAGCGGUGAAAUGCGUAGAGAUCUGGAGGAAUACCGGUGGCGAAGGCGGCCCCCUGGACAAAGACUGACGCUCAGGUGCGAAAGCGUGGGGAGCAAACAGGAUUAGAUACCCUGGUAGUCCACGCCGUAAACGAUGUCGAUUUGGAGGUUGUGCCCUUGAGGCGUGGCUUCCGGAGCUAACGCGUUAAAUCGACCGCCUGGGGAGUACGGCCGCAAGGUUAAAACUCAAAUGAAUUGACGGGGGCCCGCACAAGCGGUGGAGCAUGUGGUUUAAUUCGAUGCAACGCGAAGAACCUUACCUGGUCUUGACAUCCACAGAACUUGCCAGAGAUGCCUUGGUGCCUUCGGGACUGUGAGACAGUGCUGCAUGGCUGUCGUCAGCUCGUGUGUGAAAUGUUGGGGUAGUCCCGCACGAGCGCACCCUUAUCCUUUGUUGCCAGCGGUCGGCCGGGAACUCCAAAGGAGACUGCCAGUGAUAAAA
rnacentral:rRNA from 1 species